rnacentral:rRNA from 1 species
UACAGAGGGUGCGAGCGUUAAUCGGAAUUACUGGGCGUAAAGGGCGCGUAGGUGGUCUUAUAAGAUGGUUGUGAAAUACCUGGGCUUAACCUGGGAAUGGCAAUCAUGACUGCAAGACUUGAGUGCGGUAGAGGAUAGUGGAAUUUCCGGUGUAGCGGUGAAAUGCGUAGAGAUCGGAAGGAACACCAGUGGCGAAGGCGGCUAUCUGGACUGACACUGACACUGAGGCGCGAAAGCGUGGGGAGCGAACAGG